rnacentral:lncRNA from 1 species
GUGAAUCUGUUUCCUCAUAUUGUGAUAUUGUGAUCAUCUAAUUGCUUUAUUCAAGCAAUGUUGAUCCCAUAAAUUGGCCAUAAACCAAAUAGUACGGCCAUAACUUCCUUGCGGCCAUAGCUUGCUUUAUUCCCACAGACGGCGCCAAAUGUUAAUGCACAAAACCGGAGGGUCUUGGAACAACGUAAAUCCGACUGUGAAUCUGCAAGAAAGUAAAGAACACAAGAUGUAUCGUGGUUCACCCCAAUGUUUGGGCUACGUCCACACUGAUAUUGUAUUUCUCUGUUUGUGAGAGGAUGAGAGGGUGAGAACCUUUGAGGGUGAGAGUGAGGCUUCCCAUGGCCUAAGAAUUGGCCUCCCUUAAUGAAGAGAGUGAGGAGUCCUUUUAUAGACACACUGCAUCUUGCUGUUUAUCUCCAUGCUCUUGCUUUCGAUGCUAAGACUCUUUUUUUUUUGUUAUUCGUCCAAUUGCACUCAACAAAUUACAAAACAAUUAAAAUAACUUUUGCUUUCUCAAAAGGGAAGAAAAGGCAUCAUCAUUGCAUUGUAUCUUGCUGUCUGUCUCCAUGCUCUUACUUUUGGUGCUAAGACUCCUCAUUUUUUUUGUUAUCUGUCCAAUUGCACUUAGCAAACAAUUAAAAUAACCUUUGCUUUCUCAAAAGUGAAGAAAAGGCAUCAUCAUUGCAUUGUAUCUUGCUGUUUGUCUCCAUGCUCUUGCUUUUGGUGCUAAGACUCCUCCUUUUUUUUGUUAUUCGUCCAAUUGCACUUAGCAAAUUACAAAACAAUUAAAUAACUUUUGCUUUCCCAAAAGGGAAGAAUAGGCAUCAUCAUUGCGUUGCAUCUAUCUGUCCAAUUGCACUUAGCAAAUUACAAAAAUAAUUAAAAUAACUUUUGCUUUCCCAAAAGGGAAGAAAAGGCAUCAUCAUUGCAUUGCAUCUGUUCUGCAAUGUCGAUCAAGUUUCUUGAAUCCAGUUGUAUAU